UAUAUUUUAGUGUAUGGAGCACAAAAAUUUUUGAUAUUUUUAGGAAUAGUUUAAUUCUAUUAAAUAUAA
rnacentral:tRNA from 1 species